GAAUUUUGGACAAUGGGCGAAAGCCUGAUGCAACAANGCCCCGUGAGUGAAGAAGGCCUUCGUGUUGUAAAGCUCUUUUGUCAUGGGAAGAAACGCGUGAGAGCUAAUAUCUUUUGCUAAUGACUGUACCUGAAGAAUAAUCACCGGCUAACUACGUGCCAGCAGCCGUGGUAAUACGUAAGGUGCAUGCGUUAAUCCGAAUUACUGGGCGUAAAGCGUGCUGCACCGCGGUUUUGUAAGUCUGAUGUGAAAUCCCCGGGCUCAACCUGGGAAUUGCAUUGGAGACUGCAAGGCUAGAAUCUGUCAGAGGGGGGUACAAUUCCACGUGUAGCAAUGAAAUGCGUCUAUAUGAUGGAGGAACACCGACGGCGAACGCAAAUCUUCUGGGUCACAGUAUUGACAUCUCAUGCACGAAAAGUCGUGGGGAUGCAAACAUGGAUUAGAUACCCCGGUAGUCCGCGCCUUAAACACUGUCUAAUACACCGUGUGGGUCUAUAGGUGACUCAACAAUCUAGUCUAAGCGCGUGAAGUUGUUCCGCCUGGCGAGUACGGGCGCAAGAUUAAAACUCAAAGGAAUUGACGGGGACCCGCACAAAGCGGUGGAUGAUGUGGAUUAAUUCCGAUGCAACGCGAAAAACCUUACCUACCCUUGACAUGGUUGGAAUCCCCGAGAAGAUUGGGGAGUGCUCUAAAGAAAACCAUACACAGGUGCUUGCAUGGCU
rnacentral:rRNA from 1 species